CUCAGGAUUCAUUGGCGAAAGACGUUUUUUUUUUUUUUUUGCCUCGUCAGAGAAAGCUGUGUAGCUCAAACACAAGGAGGCCAAAACAAUUACGUGAUUCCAAGCCCCACUUCCAAGAGCCAUGACUAAGUUGGUGUUCUUUUGCGGGCAGAUGAAGAGGAUGCGACUGAGCAUGUUCAGACCUUUAGUGUCAGCGCUGGAGCCCAAACCCUGCGUUGCAGACAUAAACAGCGUUUGUCUCCAUCUACAGGCCAUAAUGUAAGCUGGUGCGUGUGACAGGAAAUAUCUGAUAUGAAAAUAAACUUCACAGGCAGUCGCCAGCUGUUAGUCGCACAAACCACCCUAAUAACAACAAACCCAAGUAAACCACAUGGAACACUUCUGAUUUCAACACUGAAACCGGCUGCAGAACAGCCUCUCACAAGGAUACGCUUGAAAAUAAAUGCCACUAAUAUUUUGAGUGUAAUAAUGUAAAUACUCAUUACUCAUUAAUGAAUGUAAAGCAAGAUGAACACUUAAAAAAACAAACAAACAAACAAACAAAA